rnacentral:rRNA from 1 species
CCUACGGGUGGCUGCAGUAGGGAAUAUUAGAAAUGGACGAAAGUCUGAUCUAGCAACACCGCGUGUGCGAAGAAGGCCUUCGGGUUGUAAAGCACUUUUUGGAAGGAUUAGGAAGGAAUGUACUUCCAGAAUAAGUCUCGGCUAACUACGUGCCAGCAGCCGCGGUAACACGUAGGAGGCAAACGUUAUCCGGAUUUACUGGGCGUAAAGCGCGUGUAGGUGGUUCUGUAAGUAGGGCGUGAAAGCUCCUGGCUCAACUGGGAGAGGCCGUUCUAAACUGCAGAGCUAGAGGAUGGUAGAGGGAGGUGGAAUUCCGGGUGUAGCGGUGGAAUGCGCAGAUAUCCGGAGGAACACCAGUGGCGAAAGCGGCCUCCUGGACCAUUCCUGACACUCAGACGCGAAAGCUAGGGUAGCAAACGGGAUUAGAUACCCCGGUAGUCCCC